AAAAUGGUCUUUUUCAAGACCCCAAAAUAAUUCGAAAAAGAAAUUA
rfam:Clunio marinus genome assembly, contig: CLTMA_superscaffold_60B